UACGUAGGGGGCAAGCGUUGUCCGGAAUCAUUGGGCGUAAAGCGCGUGUAGGCGGUUCGAUUAGUCUGCUGUGAAAGUCGGGGGCUCAACCCUCGAAAGCCGGUGGAUACUGUCGGGCUAGAGUGCGGAAGAGGCGAGUGGAAUUCCUGGUGUAGCGGUGAAAUGCGCAGAUAUCAGGAAGAACACCUAUGGCGAAGGCAGCACUCUGGGACGGUACUGACGCUGAGACGCGAAAGCGUGGGGAGCGAACAGG
rnacentral:rRNA from 1 species